rnacentral:lncRNA from 1 species
AUGAAAGAGCACAGGGUCAGGUCCUGGGGUCCUACCAUGGAUUUGGGGGUCUUCGGAAGGCUGCGGGGUGCUCCUGUGGAGGACCCAAGGCCCAGGUGGGGACCAUGCACACCAUGGCUCUGGCUCUGGCCAAGCCCCAUCCUCCCUCCCUCCCACAGCCCCCUGCCCAGCUCCCCUCAGAGCCUGGCCUCCUGUGCCUGCCCUGCUCCCCUCACCUCUGGGCCACAGGGUUGCUGUUGCCCAGAGACUGUUGCCAGGCCACCACUGUUGUUCCCCCGGCAGAGGACUCACACCACUUUGCUGGGCAGGUUCACCGGGGUCUUCCUUUCAUCACACCAGGGUGCUGCUUCCUGCCGGUCUUUUUACCUCACCAGAAUUAUGUCCAGAGAAACCCUGAAAAGUGCAAGCGCUAAGGCAGAAGGCUCACGGAGCCGGGAGGUCUGACACCCGCACCACAUGCCCACCUGUCACUCCACCAGCCUUGUGCAGACACCACAAUGCACCGCCUGCGUGCCCACCCACAGUCCCUUUUUCUGCCCUUAAUCUCUGUUAACUUCAAUGACAAGAAACAAUAACUCAUGGCUUACUUCUCUGUGAAAGUAAUAAACCUAGGUUUUCCCACUAGCA